CCAGGGGGCCCAGCCACUGCAGAGAGAAAAAGGAGGCCCCGUGUCCACGUGGAAACAAACGGCCACCAACCAGGAAAUGGAAAGCCAGUGUGAGGCAGCCACAGCGGGGAAGGAAGUUCUCAGCCCGCUGUCACAUGGAAGGGCGUCAGGGCCACGCUGGAGCGAGGAGCCAGUUGCAAAGAGCGCCUGUGGGAAGACCCCUCCACACGGGCCACCCGGAAGAGUUGGGCACAGAGGCAGGAAGGUGGGUGCUAGUGGGGGGCUGCGGAGGAGGAAGGCGCCUGCUAAUGCAUGUGGGGUUUCUUUUGGGGGGCAAUGACAAUCUGCCUCCCUACACCUCAGUUUCCUUGUCUGUGAAAUGGGCUACUUAAGAGUCUAAUGAACUCAGCCUGUCCUUGGGAAUUCCAAGAGGUGAUAGUAGCAGAAGCCGCCCACAGUGAGCGGGAACGUGGUGAUGCUGGGUGCCAACCUGUCCCAAGUGGCAGGGCAUGAGCCAGGUCUCGCCUGUUAAUCCUCCUCGGGUUAAUCCCCUCCUCACUGGAGAUCUCAGCUGUGUUAUCUGAAAAAUGGGUUAGCAAUGGUGCCCACCUCGUAGACCGUGGUGGCAAUGACUCGGCAGCACUGGUGCCCUGGAGGCACCAGAUAGCUGUGGGCACUCUCUCUGCCCCGUGGUGCUGCCUGGUGAGGCUGCUCCCACUGUCCAUGUAUCAGCAACGAUGCCGAUGUUAGCAGGAGUGGGCGUGUAGCGCUGUUCCCGGAGGAAGGAUGCUGAGGCCACCGGGGAGCCCUUCAGGAGUGGUCGCCCCUUGGAAGGACGGGCAGGGCACGUGGCCGAGGGUCCAGCUGCAGGGCAGGGAGCUGCAGAGCGGCCGGGGCUGGCGAUCACAGCACACCCCUCCACCCUUCUAUGCACUUUCUGUUGGAGAACCAUGGGAAAUAGGCCUGCCCCACCCAGGGGUGUGGGCCUGGCUCUUCCUCCUUGGCUCUGAGGGGCCACUUUCCCCCAGCCCUGCUGUGAUGCCCUCACAGCCCAGAGCAACAGCAGCAGCACCUAACACCUGCUGACCGAUUUCCAGGCCUUCACCAGGUGCAGACCAUAUCUUUCCUCUGCCUAGAAUUCUCCAUGGCUCCCACCUCCCUCAGAGUAAAAGGCAAAGAUCCCACAAGGCCAUCCAUGGUGGGCAGUCCCGUUAUGUCUCUGACUUCAUCUCUCCCACUCCUGCCCUGUGCAUGGCUCUCCAGUGGCACUGUCUUUCUCACUGAUCCUCAGAUGCAUGAGGAGCCAGCCCUCCAGCCUCAGGACCUUUGCAUAUGCUGCUCUCACUGCUAUAUGGACCAUUCUCUCCUAGAUAUCCCCCAGGCUUCUUCUUCACUGGCUUUGGGUCUACUUGGCUUGGAAGUGGUUUCUAUGACCCUCAAAGCUUCACGUGCUAUCAGCUUGAGCCUCGGUGGUGGAGACAGAGCUGUGUAACCUUUAAGGGCUGGGCCUGGUGGAAGGUCCUGAGGUCACUGGGCUCUGCCCUCAGGAGUGGACUAAUCCUGGGCUGGCUGAGUGGGCUGGGUCUCUCAGGAGUGAGCAAGUUCCCACGAGACUGGCCCCUCCGGGGCUUCCUGUCUCACUAUGUGACCUUUCUGUUCGUGAUUCUGCUCUGGUGAGGCCUUUGCCACCGGGCUUUCCCUAGAGCCAAGUGGAUGCCAGCCAUGGCCAUGCCCAUGGAUCUCCUGAACCAUAAACCAAACUGUCUCUGCAAGCAGCAAGCCGAGGGUACUUCCUGAGGGUGACAUCGAGCGGCCUUGUGCGCGGCCUGGCCCCGAGUCCCUUCCUCAGAAAGGCUGCCUUCUCUCUCCUCGGUCACCCACUGUGCUUUGGCUGCCUGCUUUCCUCCUCCCUGUCCCCUACCAGCCUCCUCUUCCCCUUCUGCCCCUUCCUCAGUACUGGGGGCACAGCUGGGACCUCGGGUGUGCUACGCAGCGCUCUACACCGAGCCCCCCGCCCGCCGGCCUUUUCCUUUCUUAUUAUGAGACAGGGUUUUGCUAAAUUGUCCAGGCUGACCUCGAACUUGUGAUUUUCUAGCCUCGGCCUCCGGCCUCCAGAGCAGCUGGGAUCACAGGUAUGGAGCACCACGCCCAGCUUGGCCCUUCUCUGCUGGUUCCUGGGUCACUAUCCGUGUCCCCUUCUGUUCCAGGCAGUGAGGCCCUCUGCGUGGAGCCCAUGAGCCCGGCUGGGCCCCCGUCCAGGCUCCAUAGCCCUUGCUUGAGGAAAGAGCACAGCUGGGAGGCAGGCGGGCGGGCGGCGUCCUAAGCAGGGGACAGGAGUGGCGGGGGCCGUGGCACCCUGGAAGCCCUCAGCCCACACGAGCUCUGCACACCCCCGGGCUCAGCCCACAGCGUCCGUGUGGGAAGGUGGCCCAGAAGGGCAGAGCGCCAGGGUUUUGAGAGAAGCCAGAAACUCUUCUGUCUGUGUGAUGUCUCGAUUAGAAACCAUCGCUGUUUUCUAAAAGUCCACAUCUGCAGUGGCCUGGCGUGGGGGGCAUUUGUACCCAGGGGCCACCUCAGCAGCGCUCUGAGCAUUCCGGGCGUCCGGGAGCCCAAGCUCUUGAGACGCCUCCACUUCAAGGCAAGUCGCCUGCUCUUCUCACAGCGCCCUCCAGCCGCCCGUUCACGCCAGCUCUGGGCAUCUUUCCUCCACCCUGGAGCAGAGAUCAAAGAAAUAGGAUUUGCUGCCGUUUAUAGAAGGAGGGUACGUCCAAGAAAACCCUCCAGCCGCAGGCCAGAGGUGACAUACCAGCCAGGAACUAGAGCCGAGGUGCCUGCCUUCCCAGCCCAGGAGGCCUGGCUUAUAUUGGAGCUGGAGGCUUCGUUUGAGUUGGCUUUGUGGAUGAUGCAAAACUCCUCACGGGUGUUUAUUUUCCUCGGGAGGGAGGUGGAGGGCAGAACGCCUGAGCAGCUGGACAGAAUGCCAGGCGGAAUAACAGAGCAGGACUUCCUCCCCUCCGACUGCUGCCAAAGCGAGAAGCGAAACAGCUAGUAUUUACUUAAUAGUUUUCUUCUCCUCGUAUAAUUUUUUUUAAAUCCUUAAAUCGUUCCAUCCUGAGAAAUAAUAGCCAUGAAUCGAUGGUUCUGAUUGAUGAGUUCGUUGUAGGCUGAUCUUCUCCAAGUGCACAUAAAUACUCAGGACUACAAUUAUUUUUAAAACACAACCUCCCCGUGUGCCACCUAACUCACGCUGCCAAGUGACCACGGUGCCUGUGCGGAACAUUUUCAAGUUCUGGGCUGUCAGACGCCAGGGAUUACACUGCCAGCCGCCGGGCCUCCCGGCCUCCCAGGCCCAGCCCUAGGGAGGGAGCCACAUUUGACUUAAGCCAACCGUGGCCAUCCAUUAUGGGCUCCUGGCCUGUGACUGGUCUGGCUGCUCACACGCCCCAGUUCUGGGCAAAGAGGUGACGAGUGAGCUGCGGCAGCCCCAUCUGUGACGUGAGGACCCGCUGAAGAUGAGUUGCCAUGUGUAAGCGGAGAGUGCACAGACCCUGCGUCCCUUAUAGCAACCUUGAGGUGCCAAAUCCACCCAGCGGUCCAAAAUCUCCAGAUGGCUUUUAAACAAACAAUAAACAGGACUGUAGUCUA